UACGUAGGGUGCAAGCGUUGUCCGGAAUUAUUGGGCGUAAAGAGCUCGUAGGUGGUUUGUCGCGUUGUUCGUGAAAACCUGAGGCUUAACCUUGGGCGUGCGGGCGAUACGGGCAGACUGGAGUACUGCAGGGGAGACUGGAAUUCCUGGUGUAGCGGUGGAAUGCGCAGAUAUCAGGAGGAACACCGGUGGCGAAGGCGGGUCUCUGGGCAGUAACUGACGCUGAGGAGCGAAAAGCGUGGGGGAGCGAACAGG
rnacentral:rRNA from 1 species